GGCAUAUGGUCUAAAAUCACGAUGCAGGUGGGGUGAUAUAUAUAGUGCAUCUGGGACAGAUAAGAAAAAGAUAAUGCUAAUUCCUGAGGAUGGGGUAGCAACAGAAGGAAUGGAGAAGCUCCACUAUGAAGUGAUUAUAGAGGCUAUAUGUAAAGAUUUCUCUUGUGACUGCUUUUGAGGAAAAAUAAAGAAGAAAUAAGGAAUAGCAAUAGUAAAAGCAAGCUGACAGUGCUUGCCAGGAGCUCAAUCCACAGAAAGAGCUUCCCAGUCUGGGCUGCAUUCUUGUUUACUCAGAUUAUUUUGCUGAGAGAAAUGCCCUGCUGUGAUACUAAAGGAGAAGAAAAAGUGGGAGAUUUGAUUAAUGAGCUGCCCGUUGAUGUGGGGAUGUGCAGGCAGAUUAGUCACAGGAGCUAAACCUGGGUGCUGAGAGGGCUUCUCAAAGCGUGAGGAUAUUUGCAUGUUUCAUUCUCUAGACUGGAAUCUCAAUUCAGGCUCUUGGAUGCAGCUCAUUAGCAAAACUGGGAGGCUUUGCCAUUUGUCAGAUUACAUGGUAGUAAUUAGCCAUUAGAGUGCAGUCCUAUUUUUUGUCAUUAAGUUUGUGUCAAAAUUUCUCUGUUCAUUAUCUGUGGAAAACACUCACAAAACAAUCAACAUCCAUUUUGCUGUAAGUACAGUUGUAUGUCCUUGCUUUCUUCAAGACGUUCCUUUCUGAUGUUCCCCCAGUUGUCCCUACUGUUGCCCUCUUAUUUUCCUGCCAUGCUUUGGAGAGACUGACUGAGGAUGGCAUUAAGUUUGAGAGUUUUAUAUCAUCUCUGUGAGCAUCCUUGAAUGCUU
rnacentral:lncRNA from 1 species